AUUCCGGAGAGGGAGCCUGAGAAACGGCUACCACAUCCAAGGAAGGCAGCAGGCGCGCAAAUGACCCAAUCCUGACAUGGGGAGGUAGUGACAAUAAAUAACAAUACUGGGCUCAUCGAGUCUGGUAAUUGGAAUGAGUACAAUCUAAAUCCCUUAACGAGGAUCCAUUGGAGGGCAAGUCUGGUGCAAGCAGCCGCGGUAAUUCCAGCUCCAAUAGCGUAUAUUUAAGUUGUUGCAGUUAAAAAGCUCGUAGUUGGAUCUUGGGUCGUAAAGGUCGGUCCGCCUACUCGGUGUGCACCUGCCCUUCCGCCCCUUUUGUCGGCGGCGUGCUCCUGGCCUUAAUUGGCUGGGUCGCGGCUCCGGCGCUGUUACUUUGAAAAAAUUAGAGUGCUCAAAGCAAGCUUAUGCUCUGAAUACAUUAGCAUGGAAUAACGUGAUAGGAGUCUGGUCCUAUUGUGUUGGCCUUCGGGACCGAAGUAAUGAUUAAUAGGGACUGUCGGGGGCAUUCGUAUUUCAUUGUCAGAGGUGAAAUUCUUGGAUUUAUGAAAGACGGACCACUGCGAAAGCAUUUGCCAAGGAUGUUUUCAUUAAUCAAGAACGAAAGUUGGGGGCUCGAAGACGAUCAGAUACCGUCCUAGUCUCAACCAUAAACGAUGCCGACCAGGGAUCAGCGGAUGUUGCUCUAAGGACUCUGCCAGCACCUUCUGAGAAAUCAGAGUGUUUGGGUUCUGGGGGGAGUAUGGUCGCAAGGCUGAAACUUAAAGGAAUUGAUGGAAGGGCACCACCAGGAGUGGAGCCUGCGACUUAAUUUGACUCAACACGGGGAAACUUACCAGGUCUAGACAUAGUAAGGAUUGACAGAUUGAGAGCUCUUUCUUGAUUCUAUGGGUGGUGGUGCAUGGUCGUUCUUAGUUGGUGGAGUGAUUUGUCUGGUUAAUUCCAAUAACGAACGAGACCUGAGCCUGCUAACUAGCUACGCGGAGGUUCCCCUUCACGACCAGCUUCUUAGAGGGACUAUGGCCGUUUAGGCCAUGGAAGUUUGAGGCAAUAAUAGGUCUGUGAUGCCCUUAGAUGUUCUAGGCUGCACACGCGCUACACUGAUGCAGCCAACGAGCUUUUCUUCCUGGUUCGAGAGGAUCGGGAAAUGUUUUCAAAUUGCAUCGUGAUGGGGAUAGACCAUUGCAAUUAUUGGUCUUCAACGAGGAAUUCCUAGUAAGCGCGUGUCAUCAACUCGUGUUGACUACGUCCUUGCCCUUUGUACACACCGCCCGUCGCUCCUACCGAUUGAAUGAUCCGGUGAAGUGUUCGGAUUGCGUCGACGAUGGUGGUUCGCCGCCGUCGACGUCGUGAGAAGUUCAUUGAACCUUAUCAUUUAGAGGAAGGAGAAGUCGUAACAAGGUUACCGUAGGGGAACCUGCGGUAG
rnacentral:rRNA from 1 species